UACAGAGGGGGCAAGCGUUGUCCGGAUUUACUGGGCGUACAGCGCGCGCAGGCGGCCUCGUAUGUGACCGGUGACAUCCUCGGGCUCAACCCGAGGCGGCCCGGUUAGACAGCGGAGCUGGAGGCAGGGAGAGGGAUGUGGAAUACCCGGUGGAGCGGUGAAAUGCGUAGAUAUCGUAAGGAAGACCAGUGGCGAAGGCGGGUCUCUGGACAGUUCCUGACGCUGAGGCACGAAGGUCAGGGGAGCAAACGGG
rnacentral:rRNA from 1 species